GGGUGGUGGUAGAAAGUCGAAACUCCCAAAAGGCACAUGCUUAAAACUAACGUCAUGCGUGUAUAACAUCGUCUCCCCUCAUUUUCAACCGGGGAGUCUAUAGGGGUUUACGAAGCUAAAAAACACCAUUCUCCGGCAUCAACAUGGUGAACGCAUUCCACUGACAUUUUAUCAUUUCAAUCCACCCGUAUAAACAAAAAACUUUAAUUCCCGAGUACGAGCUCAUUUUGUCCGGAGGGAGCUUUGCUAAAAGUAUUCGAAAGUACCCAGAAUAUACACAUCAGAAAAAGUGCA